rnacentral:rRNA from 1 species
UAGGGAAUCUUCCACAAUGGACGCAAGUCUGAUGGAGCAACGCCGCGUGAGUGAAGAAGGUCUUCGGAUCGUAAAGCUCUGUUGUUGGUGAAGAAGGAUAGAGGCAGUAACUGGUCUUUAUUUGACGGUAAUCAACCAGAAAGUCACGGCUAACUACGUGCCAGCAGCCGCGGUAAUACGUAGGUGGCAAGCGUUGUCCGGAUUUAUUGGGCGUAAAGCGAGCGCAGGCGGAAUGAUAAGUCUGAUGUGAAAGCCCACGGCUCAACCGUGGAACUGCAUCGGAAACUGUCAUUCUUGAGUGCAGAAGAGGAGAGUGGAACUCCAUGUGUAGCGGUGGAAUGCGUAGAUAUAUGGAAGAACACCAGUGGCGAAGGCGGCUCUCUGGUCUGCAACUGACGCUGAGGCUCGAAAGCAUGGGUAGCGAACAGGAUUAGAUACCCUGGUAGUCCAUGCCGUAAACGAUGAGCGCUAGGUGUUGGGGC